CCUUCUCUAUCAGCCAGGGGCCAGUUUUCCAGUCCCAGGGUGAAAUUUCCUGGGCCUUGCCACCCACUAGUUCCAAAUUUGGAGGUAAUAUUUCUCAGAAGGAACGGAAUCUCUGCUUAGGCCAGGAGUCAUGUCUCGGGUAGGGGAGGAGCUGAGGAGUAGAGGAGAGCAUUUGGGACACCAGGAAGGAAAGACAGCCAGACAUGUAAAGUUCUUCCUGGAAAACCCUUCAUCUCCUUCUGAGGGGAGGAGAGGGGUACAUACGUCUGUAUGAUUUUGUGGGAGGUGGCCCUGUAAAGUGACUAUUGUCAAGGUGACAGAAGUGUUUGGAGCCAUUGCCACCAAGGCAGGAAAGGGACUGGAUCCAAGGACUCGGGGCGGCGGGGGGCACUGUCUAUGGGGUCCCAGUGACCUCACUAGUCACCCGGUCUCCCCCUCUGCCUGCCUUACGGCUUCCUGGUUGAGGGUCCAGACCCCUCAUUCCUCUCAGAUGAGUUCAGAACCCACUGUGGAGGUCACUCUCCCGAUCAAGAGCUGGCUUUGGUGGACAAGCCCUGUUCAGGGUUCCAGGGCAGGAUGGGGAAAAUGCGUCAGGAGGUGUGAAAACAUCCUUCCUCUCCGAGCCAGGGUUCCUCACCCACAACGCAGAGAUGGUGGAAGCCGAUGGAGACCACGGCAAGGCUCACAGAGGGAGGUCACAACACCUCCGCGUUCCUUUGUCCUGUCCGUGGGGUCCUGUAUCGUCAUGGCCCAAACAUGCGGCUCUCUGGCAGGGGUCGGAGACAGUCAGUCCUCGGUUUCUCCAAACCAGUGCUGAGCAGUUUCUCAUCCUUAUCUCCUUGAUGUCCACCGGCAGGCAUGCGAGCAUCCUCACAUGAGCCACCACCCUGGUUUUCUUGUGCUAAAAUGAAACCAACAUGUUUCCGUAUAUCGGUCUGUCCUGUUCCAUCCCCUUCCAUUGCCUCCUUCUCUCCCUUGCUUCCUGUUUCCUUCCUGAUGCUCCUUCCUCCUUCCCCCCACCUGCCCAUCAUCUAUGGGAAGAUGGUUCCUUUGUCUGCCCCUCCCCUUCCUUCUUUCCUCUUUUUUUUUUCCUACUUCCUCCUUCUUAAGCACCCAGAAGUCCUGCAGUCAGUAAAACAGCCUCCCACCUGCAGUCUUGGCUGCUCUUCUGAGGGAGAGAGAGGCAACAAAACCUGUAAGAAAUGUACACUGUACCACACUGAUGCAGCAAGCAGAGAGCCGUGGAGGAAUAGUUCCAAAGCAGGAGCUGGAAGGACCUGGGCUCAACGGUUCAUCUCAGCAUUUUGGGCAAAGCCUCUGCAGCUUAUGGUUUUUCCAGCAUACACGCCUCGCUUUCCUAAAGCAUAGACGCAUCCGUCCAUCCUCACCCCACAGUACUGUUUUGAGCACCAACCAAGACAGCGUGAAAGUGUGGGUUCAGGAUUUGAGCUCUGGCCGCCACGCCAGCCUGCCGCUACACCUGCCUACCAUGAUGGGGAUGGACUCUAAUCUCUCUGGAACUGUAAGCCCAAAUAAACCCUUCUUCCUUCUGUAAGUGGCCUUGGUCGUGGCAUUUUAUCACAGCAACAGAAAGGUGACUAACAUACAUGUGCAUAAAAAGCAGAGCCGUGAUUGUCUGUAAUCACAGCUUCAGGAGCGCGGUGACCUUGAAACCUGUCCAUGCAUACAGAUCAACCUAGUUUUAAGAAGGCUACUUGAUACUCAGGGGAUGGCUAACACUGAACUCUUAUUCAUCUCACAAAGCCCGGCCUGCAUUGCCCUCCUUUAAAGGAAGUCUUGCUACUUAGCAGACGUGGAGUGAAGGUGGUGGACCCUUCUCUUUGUUGUCUUAAAGUGUCAGCCUAGUCCAAGCUGGGAAGCUGGGGCACUGUUUCUCCUCCUUAUAUGAGGCUGGGUGCUUCUGGAACGCUGCUGCUCUGAUGCUGACUUCUGAACUCCAGCUCCUCACGGAGGAGUAACCAGUAUCCAGCAGGUGCUCAGGUGCUGCUGGGGGAAGACGAAGAGGGAAUGAGGAGCAAGCCCCCGCUCCCUUUAUUCAAGUGAGGACGGCGGGAAGACGUGUGGUUCCGAGCUAUAAACGGACCUAUAUUUUUAAAUGCACUGGGGGAGGGGGUUCUAUUUAAAGGAGCCCUGA